rnacentral:rRNA from 1 species
CCUACGGGGCGCAGCAGUGGGGAAUAUUGCACAAUGGGGGAAACCCUGAUGCAGCGACGCCGCGUGAGCGAAGAAGUACUUCGGUAUGUAAAGCUCUAUCAGCAGGGAAGAAAAAUGACGGUACCUGAGUAAGAAGCACCGGCUAAAUACGUGCCAGCAGCCGCGGUAAUACGUAGGGAGCAAGCGUUGUCCGGAAUUACUGGGCGUAAAGGGCGCGUAGGUGGGUGCUUAAGUCAGGUGUGAAAACUCUGGGCUCAACCUGGAGACUGCACUUGAAACUGGGUAUCUUGAGGGCAGGAGAGGAA